AAAGUACUCCCUCCGUUCGGAAUUACUUGUCUCGGAAAUGGAUGUAUCUAAAACUAAAAUACGUCUAGAUACAUCCAUUUCUACGACAAGUAAUUCCGAACGGAGGGAGUAUAUU
rnacentral:pre_miRNA from 1 species